UCAUUCUGUUCCACGAGACUCUGGACCAGACCACCGCGAGCAGACAGCUGGACUUCAUGUGCGUUAUUGGUGAAAUGACCACGUCCAGUCAGGAUCCUGUGGAGCUCAUGGGCCAUGACACCAGGACCUACUUCAGCACCUCAAAGAGAAUGGACCAAAUGUCAACUGGAAGUUUUUAUAUUAAUACAGUUUGAAAAGGAUUGUUUUCCUAGUAUAUUCACAAAAGCUCAGGAGUAGACAUGAACCUGUGCACAAACAUCCAUCACAUAGAGACAUGAGAACUCACACUCACUCACCCAUUCUAUUAUGUAAAUGAAUUUGCAUUUUAAAAGCAGCUGGAAAUGUUAUUUGUUAUUUUUGUUCAAAAGGAACUAUGUUGCAUGUAUUUUUUAAAUAUAUUUACUUAAUUUUAGAGACAUUUGUUCAUGGGACUUAAAUGUUCUGAAAAUGUAUUAAUAAAUAUAAUUUACAACAGCAA